GCUUGAUAGCACUCCAGCUUUCUCCAUCUCUCUGGCAAAGUCCUGGGCAAAAAUCAAGGCUGAAGAAUAUUAUCUCACAGAACCCAGAAGUACAAUCUGGACAUUAAUAAUGUGAUUCUUCAAAGGUUUCUCCAUUUAAAACCAUGUGUUUCUGUUCUACCUCUGAAUUAAGAUGACCGCUAAUACAUGAUGACAACCAAACUGUUUUUUCAAGGCUUGCAAAGUACUCUCCCUACACAACUCCUAUUGAUUCUCACGACAGUCCUGUGAAUAAGGUGGCAUCGAUAUUAUCUCCAUUUGGCAGAUGAGAAAACAGGCUCAGAGGACUCAAAUGACAAGUCUACUCUAAUAUUACUGGUAAUGGCUUCAGUUGGGAUUUGAAACCAACCUUUUUUUUUCACAGCUGAUAAGU